AGAGUUUGAUCCUGGCUCAGGACGAACGCUGGCGGCGUGCUUAACACAUGCAAGUCGAACGAUGAUGCCCAGCUUGCUGGGUGGAUUAGUGGCGAACGGGUGAGUAACACGUGAGUAACCUGCCCCUGACUCUGGGAUAAGCGUUGGAAACGACGUCUAAUACUGGAUAUGAUCACUGGCCGCAUGGUCUGGUGGUGGAAAGAUUUUUGGUUGGGGAUGGACUCGCGGCCUAUCAGCUUGUUGGUGAGGUAAUGGCUCACCAAGGCGACGACGGGUAGCCGGCCUGAGAGGGUGACCGGCCACACUGGGACUGAGACACGGCCCAGACUCCUACGGGAGGCAGCAGUGGGGAAUAUUGCACAAUGGGCGAAAGCCUGAUGCAGCAACGCCGCGUAAGGGAUGACGGCCUUCGGGUUGUAAACCUCUUUUAGUAGGGAAGAAGCGAAAGUGACGGUACCUGCAGAAAAAGCACCGGCUAACUACGUG
rnacentral:rRNA from 1 species